UUAUACACCUCUGUGCCUGACUGGUUAGAGAAAUCAAUUAAUUUUUUUUAUUGUUGUUGACUACAGGCUGUGGCCGGGAACUAUAGUUAGGGCUGUCUGACGAACUCAAUUCUGAAUUACGUCCAAAGAGGGCUAGAUGUGUUACUGCACUAUAGUUGGUUCACUGAAGGUAGAUUCUUGGGCGAGCCCUUUGUUUAGGGGUCGCUGAUUGGCUGGGAGCUGCCUACCUCCCAGUACCAGCCAAUCAGCGCCCCCUAAACAAACGUCUCGUCAGCAUAGGGCUCAUCCAAGAUUCUACCUUAAGUGAACCAGCUAUAAUAUUAUGUAAUUUAAUGUACCGCAAUCAGGGUGGCGCUGCUAACCCUUGUAGAAUGAGGCCAUCUUAAAAAAAAAAAAAAAAAAAAAAAAACGGGAAACUCGGAAGUUCAGUAGGUAGUACCUUGUGCGUUCUCAGCCGUUCUGUGAUUUUUUCCUUGUACCAUCGUAUUGGUACGUUGUGCAUGUAUAAUUGCAAAUAUAUCAGGAAUUUUUGGGGAGAAAUGGAUUAAAAUCUUACAGGGGAUGUGAGUCAAAUGAUCUAAUAUAGUUUGAAGUCCUUCGAGAACACAUUAAAAAAAAAUUGUGGAUUUGUGAAUAGAGCAAAUAUUUCUGAAGAUCUGAUGAACCAGAACCACUGAACACCAACAACCCGUUGGCCAUGUCCAACUUACAGUAGCAACAUGUGCCACCUACAGACAACUGUUUGAUAUAGCUUCAGAAAGUGAAGAGUUUAUUAAAAAUAUGAAAAAUAUACUGUUGUUAGAUGAUUAGUAUAACGGAAUACUUACCAAGUUUUGCAAAAUUGGAAAAGUUAUUAUAUAAAAGAAGAUGAGCUCGUUUCUCGUCUCGUCCCAACCAACGUAGCACAGUAAGCUAUUACAGGAAGAAGUUACAAAAAGCAAGCAGAGAUACAGGAGACUUACAGAGAAGUGGAAGAAACACCGACAGAGAACCACACCCCAACAGUUACCUGGUUCUCUCUCCCGCUGCAAUGGACUUCAUUUGCUGGAAUGUAUUGUGUAAGGUGGGGCUAACAAGCCAACUAGAGCCAGUAUUUCAUGCACUGCAAUUAAAUAGUGAUACUGUACCUUUCUGUUAAAUUCUGUUUUAAGCCUUUGUGGGAGUGAACACUAUUCACGAUGGAUUCUCCAACUUCUCAGAGAACAAACGUGACUUGACGACAGCCCACUUGCCCAGCGUUCAGAAGAUCUGGUCUACCAUCCAAAGUCCCCACCUGCUUUCCAUCCCCAGACAACAGUACCCCAAUCAACCGAUUUCCUUUUGCUCAUAUAUUACAUGGAGAAAUCACGGAUUGAGGAUCAUGCCAGUAUCAGUCAAGAGGAGGAAAGGAGAAAAGAAAACAGGAAGAAUUAAGGGUGAAAUGACAUAUAGACAGGACGAAAUUCGUAGGAAACAGACUGAUACAGUGAGUUACUGUAAAUGCUACCCUUCCUUCAUUCAUCAAGCAAUGACAGGAAGCCCCAGCAUGCCUCCUUCGACACCUGCAGCUCGUACCUCGCCACUAGAGUGUGUAUUGACCCUUCAAUAUCGCCUCCACAGAAAGCAAUUGCCCAGAACCCACCCCUUUCCCUCAGAUGUAACAAGUUACCCUGAGAGAGACAAUGAAUUCAGAUGAGUAAGUGUCUCGCUUUGGGGGGGACAAAAGAUUCUUGAGCACACCCUACACAUGCCCCAGACACUAGAUUGUGUCAAUGGAGUCUUGGAUGCCCGUCAAGAACACAUCCAAAGCCAUCGCAAUGAGAAUCUUUUGUAGUGAGCUACUCGACUGCAAAUAGAUAGAGGGAGUCUCUCUUGUAGACACACAAAACUCAAGAACAUUGCACAGGAGGAAGAAGUCUGUUCUGGUAGAUAUUCAGUUUGUGAGCAAACCCAAAUGGAGAUGAUCCUCCUCCUGCGAGUCAUGGAUGAAGAAUUCUGAGGAACUAAUUGCUCGACAGGAUGUAAUCAACAUGCGUUGCAAUUAUGAGGUCACCAGGAAGGCCACUUUUACCUUUUGUGCUUCACCCUAUAAAACUAUGAAGCAGACGAAACGUGGAAAGGGUGCCAUCCCUACUACACCAUCAGUGUUUCAUGCAACCACAUGCACAGAUCAACAGAGAAGGGUCCAGCAGCAGACAGCAACUUUGCCCUUGUCAUAAGGGCCAUUGGGCCAGGGCACACAAGUGCCCCUGCCAGACAAGUCCAGUGGCCCCCACUGCAACCAACAGAACCAUUACAACAAGUGCUGCUGGAAGGAAAGCCAAACAGGGUGCCAAGCAUACACCACCCUCUGUGGGCAAGAACCCAAGCCAAACAGGGUGCCACUUCUAGUGCCCAGCAUGCACCAUUCCCUCUGGCAAGAACCCCAUCUAUCAUCAUCAUAGGGGGAAGUAACCCCAGCUGUUGUCAGAUGGGAAGGCCCUCUUCUAUCAAGGCACUGCAGCUUAUUUCAGUUUCCCUCUUGUAUGGUUAUGUCAUAUCCAGGAUUCAGAUGUUGCCAGACAGGUGUUGACAUCUCUUGGACUCUAUUGAGCCCUAACCAUGAACUGUGGAUAAAGGAGCAUUUUGCCUAGGGGAGACUGCCCCAGCUAGCCCACCAGUUCUUGCCUCUUCAAUCCAGCCCUCCCAGUUAUCCUACAGACAGACUUCUCAAUUCAACGGACUAGGAUACACCUUCUGUGUUGCAGGGAGGUCAUUCCUUUCUGGCUGGUCUGUGGUUGUUACCCCAUGCUGCAGUGACACUAUCGCGUAGAGGUGGAUCCUUUUGCAUAUAUUUCAGGGAGGUUGAUGUCCCACUUCACUGUGAAUUUGGGAAUUCAUGUAGUGAAGGGUAGAGUACAUCAUAUUUCCCUGCAGUCCAGUGGCCAAUGCCAAGGCAUCUGUGAAGGCUGUGAAACUGAAGACUGCACCCUCUGGUUACAAUGACUGUGAAGACUAUGACUGUGGCCUUUUGGAGUUAGGGAAUACCUCAAAUUUCAUGGGCCACUUCCCUGCACAAAUCCUAGAUGGCCACCCACUCUGCUCCUGUGUGCUUGACCAUCCUCGGUCAUUUUUGCAGGAAUGGCUCAAGAAAGUAGAGAAAUGCAAUUGCCAUGUUGUCGCCAGAGCUGAACUUUUAUGAUCAUCAUGCACAUCUACCCCAGCUAGAAGUUGGACGUUCAGGAUCCGACUUCUUGCCUUUAGGACAAGGUCAGGAGGAGCCAUGGCUGGUCAAGGGACUUCGAAGUAAGUCUCCCCCAGUGAAUGAACAUUUGGAAGAACUGGCACUUCCUGUAGCCAGUAUCAACCUCUGGCCUUCUACCUCACAUCCCUGUGGACCUUCAUAUUGACACGAAAGUCCUACAGCCCCACGUAGACCUCCAAAGUUUUCCAGAUGGAACUGUGGGUGUGAAAGGGAGGUAUAGAUACCAUAAACAAUAUGUAACGUAUUGGUUAUAUAUAGUAUUACUGAUUGCCUCCCCUGUAUAUUUACUAGUGGCAAUUGUAUUCUUACCUCACAUGUGCAAGUGGCAACUAAACACCGAAUUCAAAUCCAAUGCUGAGCUGUAUGCUGCUUCCCCUCAAAGUUCGGUUGCUCACACAUUGUCACCUUACCUAAUA